GACGUAUUCCAGCGGUUGGCAUUAAACCCAGUGAUGAGCAUUUACCGUCCCUUUUUUGAUUCCGCAGAUUCUGGUUUUCCGUAAACACCGGCUUAAGCCAUGUUGGCUGAGCGGGGUGAAUAAUUGAUUGAUUGCAGGAUAUUUGAGCAUGUCUACUACUACCGGUACUGUUAAGUUCUUCAACGAAGCAAAAGGAUUUGGUUUUAUUACUCGUGAAGGCGGCCCCGACGUAUUCGUUCACUACAGCGCUAUUCAGGGUGGCGGUUUCAAGACUCUGGCAGAAGGCCAGCAAGUCGAGUUUACCGUUACCCAGGGCCAGAAAGGUCCGCAAGCGGAAAACGUUGUACCUCUGUAAUCCCGCUUGGAUGCAGAAGUAACCCGCUAAAAAAAGGCAGCUAACGCUGCCUUUUUUUGU
rnacentral:sRNA from 1 species